rnacentral:rRNA from 1 species
CCUACGGGAGACAGCAGUGGGGAAUAUUUCACAAUGGGGGAAACCCUGAUGCAGCAACGCCGCGUGAAGGAAUACGGUUUUCCGAUUGUAAACUUCUGUUCUUAGUGGAGAAUAAUGACGGUAGCUAAGGACCCCGCCACGGCUAACUACGUGCCAGCAGCCGCGGGAAGGCGUAGGUGGCAAGCGUUGUCCGGAAUUACUGGGUGUAAAGGGAGCGCAGGCGGGAAGCCAAGUCAGCUGUGAAAACUACGGGCUUAACUUGUAGACUGCAGUUGAAACUGGGGGUCUUGAGUGAAGGAGAGGGUGGCGGAAUUCCGGGUGUAGCGGUGAAAUGCGUAGAUAUUCGGAGGAACACCGGUGGCGAAGGCGGCCAACUGGGCUUUAACUGACGCUGAGGCUCGAAAGUGUGGGGAGCAAACAGGAUUAGAUACCCGAGUAGUC